UCUGUCCCCAGUAGUUAAUCUUCCAUGGUUAUUCGAUGAGACGCUUGGGGAGAGGCUUUUAAGACGACUGCACUUCUCCCCUUGGUUAGGUAAGUGAGUUCCAGAGUGAGCCUGCCCCUGUGCUCAGGAGAGAAACCAGACAAGGUCAGAGGAACCUGGAUUCCGAGCAACUUCUCAGGCCUGAUAGCCGAUCAAAGCACCAUCUCAGGCUAUCUUUGCUUGGGCCUCAACAACAUGGCACUCCCUGGAACCCGAGAAUAUAAUACAGUUUUCGUGGUAAAGGAGAUUUGCAGGGAAGAGAACCUAUCCCAGCGACGUGGGAAUCUGAAGUGUAGCCAGAGAAGGGUCAGAAGGAUUCUGAAGGCGGAAGGGGCUGUGAGCUGUGGGACUUGGAGGUCUCGAGUAGCCGGAGAAAGUGCAGAUACACAUUCUUUGGAACUCUCAUCCUGCGGAAGAGCGCCUCCUGCAAUCUGUUGGAUUUUAGCCCAGUGACAUUUAUUUUGAAUUUCUAUUCUACAGAACAGUAA